rnacentral:rRNA from 1 species
CCUACGGGGGGCAGCAGUCGAGAAUCAUUCACAAUGGGGGAAACCCUGAUGGUGCGACGCCGCGUGGGGGAAUGAAGGUCUUCGGAUUGUAAACCCCUGUCAUGUGGGAGCAAAUUAAAAAGAUAGUACCACAAGAGGAAGAGACGGCUAACUCUGUGCCAGCAGCCGCGGUAAUACAGAGGUCGCAAGCGUUGUUCGGAUUCACUGGGCGGAAAGCGUGCGUAGGCGGCUUCGUAAGUCGUGUGUGAAAGGCGCGGGCUCAACCCGCGGACGGCACAUGAUACUGCGAGACGAGAGUACAGGUGGGGGAACCGGAAUUCGCGGUGUAGCAGUGAAAUGCGUAGAUAUCGAGAGGAACACUCGUGGCGAAGGCGGGUUCCUGGACAUUAACUGACGUUGAGGCACGAAGGCCAGGGGAGCGAAAGGGAUUAGAUACCCGAGUAGUC